rnacentral:rRNA from 1 species
UUUGUAGGUGGCUUGCUAAGUCAGACGUGAAAUCCCUCAGCUUAACUGGGGAACUGCGUCUGAUACUGGCGAGCUUGAGUGCAGGAGAGGAACGCGGAAUUCCAGGUGUAGCGGUGAAAUGCGUAGAUAUCUGGAGGAACACCGGUGGCGAAGGCGGCGUUCUGGACUGCAACUGACACUGAAAAACGAAAGCCAGGGGAGCAAACGGGAUUAGAUACCCCGGUAGUCCUGGCCCUAAACGAUGAAUGCUUGGUGUGGCGGGUAUCGAUCCCUGCCGUGCCGUAGUUAACGCGAUAAGCAUUCCGCCUGGGGAGUACGGUCGCAAGGCUGAA